CGGGGCCGCGCCGCGGCCGCGAGCCGGGGGGCAGGGCUGAGGGGCUGAGGGGCAUAAAUCCCACGUCUCGUCCUUUGCGUGACACUUCUGUCCCCCUCCUGCAUAUCCGGCAGCUCGCUUGCCUCACGCAGUUUGGCUGAAAGCUUGUUUUCCGUUGUUGGUGGAAGCAGCCUGUUCCGGAACCUGUAACCAUGGCCAUAAGAAGGUAUCCAGGAAUUCAAUGCUGAAGAGCUGAUGAAAAUAAAUUGGAGGAGGAGGAAAAAUUAAAACUGUUAUUGAACUAGUUUCAAAAUGCAGAGAAGUAACAACUCUGAUUUUAAAUUUUUACAAAGUGCAAGAGACAAGCAUGUUUUGAGCUGUGGAAGGUCCUGUCUUGCAGUAACCUGUGUCAGUCUGUGUUUAGUUUAGCCCUGCCACACAACAAAUGCCAAGUUCUCUACUCCAUCCUGUUGCACUUGCUUUGGUUAACAUUGACAGUGGCUUUCAAACCCAGAGUGAGUUUUCAAGCUCUGGUGUUUCAGCCCUCCCACAGUUCCACCGACUUUAAGAAGUGCCAUACAUGGCACCCCCAGCUUGGCAUGCUGUGAAUAGGACAUUUUGUCACCAUAGGCAAAGGGAUCAAAUGCCUGCACUCCUUUCUAAAAUGCUUUGUUCUCAGGAUUAACAUCCUCCUUCUAAGAGCUGAAAGAAAGGUUUUCCAGGUUGUGUCUGCAGCUGUGCAGAUGCCUUUAGAUCUCAGAAGCUGAACUGCACUCAACCAGGAAACUGAUGAAGAAGGCUGUUCUAUCCACACUAUAAGGAACACAAACUGGGCACAGCUCCACUUGGUUCCUUCUUUUAAUUUUAACUGUACACAGUAAAGUCAUAAAGGAAAUAACAGAAACAGGACUGGGAUGACCAACUCCAAGUACAAAUAAAUCAGUGCACUUAUUUUAAGGGUUUGAGCUGCAGUGAGUCUUAGAAAUGUUUGAUAAGCAGAAACUGGAGUGUGAGGAUGAGGAAAAAGAAUGGGGAAUACAAGAAUGUCUAAGUGUUUUUCAGAUAUUCUGGACUGGUUCAUGUUGAUGCUGCUUCACUGCUUCAGUGGAAUGCAACCAGCUCAGAGCAGCACAGCACCUGGUCCUGCUGUUCAGUUCACACUUGGGAAAAGGAAGACUUGUUUUGCCUGUUACUGAAAAACAUGCUUUCUCUGGGCUGAAGCACAGCAAUUGUUAACAGCUUACACUAUUUAGACACUGCUGCCAGACAACAGAAAGAAAAUAUAUAAUCCAAAUACAAUAAAAAAGGAAUUGCAGACAUAAAA